GCGAGUGUGGCGGAACUGGUAGACGCGCUAGACUUAGGAUCUAGUGCCCUAAGGCGUGGGGGUUCGAGUCCCUCCACUCGCA
rnacentral:tRNA from 1 species